AAAUUCCUGCCAUGUACGCGGAAUGAGUUGAUCUUGACCGAACAUUUUAUAAAAGGGAAUUGUACUCUUCUUGUGGAAGUGAGACCUGAUUUACUCAGGGACAAGAAGCAAGAAGGAGAUGCCCACCUGCUGGGAGCGGGUUCAAAGUAACUCAUGAGACGGCACGGCGGGAUUUUA
rnacentral:other from 1 species